ACGAUAAAGCGGGUGAAAAGCCCGCUCGCCGGAAGACCAAGGGUUCCUGUCCAACGUUAAUCGGGGCAGGGUGAGUCGACCCCUAAGGCGAGGCCGAAAGGCGUAGUCGAUGGGAAACAGGUUAAUAUUCCUGUACUUGGUGUUACUGCGAAGGGGGGACGGAGAAGGCUAUGUUGGCCGGGCGACGGUUGUCCCGGUUUAAGCGUGUAGGCUGGUUUUCCAGGCAAAUCCGGAAAAUCAAGGCCGAGGCGUGAUGACGAGGCACUACGGUGCUGAAGCAACAAAUGCCCUGCUUCCAGGAAAAGCCUCUAAGCAUCAGGUAACAUCAAAUCGUACCCCAAACCGACACAGGUGGUCAGGUAGAGAAUACCAAGGCGCUUGAGAGAACUCGGGUGAAGGAACUAGGCAAAAUGGUGCCGUAACUUCGGGAGAAGGCACGCUGAUACGUAGGUGAAGCGACUUGCUCGUGGAGCUGAAAUCAGUCGAAGAUACCAGCUGGCUGCAACUGUUUAUUAAAAACACAGCACUGUGCAAACACGAAAGUGGACGUAUACGGUGUGACGCCUGCCCGGUGCCGGAAGGUUAAUUGAUGGGGUUAGCGCAAGCGAAGCUCUUGAUCGAAGCCCCGGUAAACGGCGGCCGUAACUAUAACGGUCCUAAGGUAGCGAAAUUCCUUGUCGGGUAAGUUCCGACCUGCACGAAUGGCGUAAUGAUGGCCAGGCUGUCUCCACCCGAGACUCAGUGAAAUUGAACUCGCUGUGAAGAUGCAGUGUACCCGCGGCAAGACGGAAAGACCCCGUGAACCUUUACUAUAGCUUGACACUGAACAUUGAGCCUUGAUGUGUAGGAUAGGUGGGAGGCUUUGAAGUGUGGACGCCAGUCUGCAUGGAGCCGACCUUGAAAUACCACCCUUUAAUGUUUGAUGUUCUAACGUGGACCCGUGAUCCGGGUUGCGGACAGUGUCUGGUGGGUAGUUUGACUGGGGCGGUCUCCUCCUAAAGAGUAACGGAGGAGCACGAAGGUUGGCUAAUCCUGGUCGGACAUCAGGAGGUUAGUGCAAUGGCAUAAGCCAGCUUGACUGCGAGCGUGACGGCGCGAGCAGGUGCGAAAGCAGGUCAUAGUGAUCCGGUGGUUCUGAAUGGAAGGGCCAUCGCUCAACGGAUAAAAGGUACUCCGGGGAUAACAGGCUGAUACCGCCCAAGAGUUCAUAUCGACGGCGGUGUUUGGCACCUCGAUGUCGGCUCAUCACAUCCUGGGGCUGAAGUAGGUCCCAAGGGUAUGGCUGUUCGCCAUUUAAAGUGGUACGCGAGCUGGGUUUAGAACGUCGUGAGACAGUUCGGUCCCUAUCUGCCGUGGGCGCUGGAGAACUGAGGGGGGCUGCUCCUAGUACGAGAGGACCGGAGUGGACGCAUCACUGGUGUUCGGGUUGUCAUGCCAAUGGCACUGCCCGGUAGCUAAAUGCGGAAGAGAUAAGUGCUGAAAGCAUCUAAGCACGAAACUUGCCCCGAGAUGAGUUCUCCCUGACCCUUUAAGGGUCCUGAAGGAACGUUGAAGACGACGACGUUGAUAGGCCGGGUGUGUAAGCGCAGCGAUGCGUUGAGCUAACCGGUACUAAUGAACCGUGAGGCUUAACCUUACAACGCCGAAG
rnacentral:rRNA from 1 species